rnacentral:snRNA from 1 species
UCGCUUCAGCAGCACAUAUACCAAAUUUGGAACGAUACUGAGAAGAUUAGCAUGGCCCCUGUGCAAGGAUGACAUGCAAAUUUGUGAAGUGCUCCAUAUUAAA